UCCGAGAUCAUGGGCAAGUGGUUGAAGACAUGAUCAAAGAUCAUGGGCAAGUGGCUGACAUGAUCCCCUUUGUAACUGUCCCCCUUUGUAACUGCCAUUGGCAGCCCCUUUAUUUAUAUGCAUUUCGUAUAUGGCUAAGGCAUUCAGAAAACACUUGUGAGCCAAGCCUAAAAACGUGAUUCCUUGUAUUAUUCUGAGAGAGAUAAUAAAGGUUGGGUUUUACCCGUAAACUGUGUGUGUGUUCUUAAGUUUGGUUCAAGCCUGAAAUUGUCUAAGUAAGGCUGUGUUGUGUGAAAAAGUGACGGGCUGAAGUGGCUGCGAGCUACUGCCGUGCAGUGUUGAUUUUGCGAAAAUUAACCCUGUAACAACU
rnacentral:lncRNA from 1 species